CGCGCACCUUAGGUACCUUUUUAUUUACUAAUUUCCUGCAACCAAUAAUUGCAAUCGACGACCUGGCAUUCAAACGGACUUUUGACGGACAUUCCACAUACGCGACUGGCAAUUAAUAGGACUCCGACAAUUACUCACGACGACCUGGCUUGGAUUUGGACUCGAAAAUCCGCUACAAUUUGAUACGCCGUACCGUACGCUUUCGAAAACAGAAGUAAUGCAGAAAAAUGCCGCCCACGUGUUCGUAUUACCAAUGCAAGGCCAUGACCGGUCAGAAGUCGAUGUUCCGCUUCCCAACUGGCGACAGUGCUCGAUUGCAAACUUGGAUUGACAACUGUGGUAACAUGACCAUUGCCCACUUGUCUCGAGAUGCUCUUCGUCACAAAUAUGUCUGCAUUGAUCAUUUCGAAAAGCGGUUCAUUCAAAUGAUUGAAUAAGUUAGCCGUACCUGUCCAUUACAAAGGAGAUCCAUCGACAGAGAACUUCCCAGAUUCACCAGUUGCGUCAACAUCAGAAGGCCAAGGACCGACAGAAUUAAAAGUAUUAACACCAAAAAAGUUUACCCUGGUGUUAAAAAUCAAGAAGAAAAUGAGGAGGAAAUAUUUACGACACCGAAAAAACGCAAGCGACCAGCCGAUAGCGACACACCGAAUUGUAAAAGAUUAAAAACUGUUAUUGAAGAUACCAAAGAAAGAAAGAAUGAAGCAUAGGCGAUUGCAGAAAAAAAAUCAGAAUAAGAAAUUAAUAAAUUUAAGCGCUUAAUCUAUUCCUAAUCAUUCGACACCCUUCCUGUGGAAGGGUGCAUGUGGGAGUUCUCGUCCGCAUUUCUGCUUUGGAGACUGUCGCGCCUCACCGUGUAGGGCGAUCAUCCGUUGUCGUGUCUUGGCUAUGGACAGCUGUGCGUCUGUGAAGCGAGGCCCAGUUCCUGACUACGCCACUGUCCCACCUACCCGCUACUACGCUCAGGAGGCUAUGA